rnacentral:snRNA from 1 species
UUUAAGCGAUGUGGGACAUUCU